UUGAAAGAAUCUCCAUUUCCCCAGACCUCUGUGUGCUUCACGGCGACUCGAGCUUCUUCUCCAGCGGGCCAAGCUCGGUAGAUCCAUUAGACUUCAAGAUUUCCGGCGGAUUCCGUAUACUGCUGGUUUCCACGACUCUAUGGAGGAAGUUUGUCUUAACAGCCAGCCUGUCUUUGAUGAUUGUGACAUGCAUAUGGUGAUUGUUCCUUUGUGAACGAAGAUGAAUCUAUGGAAGCACAGUCAAAGAAGAAUCUUCCACGGCCAACUGUGGGUUCGGAAUAUGAUUCUUUUGAUGAGGCAUACGACUUUUAUAAUGCUUAUGCUAAGGUACUGGGCUUUGGCAGCAGAGUCAGCAAUUCAUGGUUUCGAUCUAAGAGAAAAGAGCGAUAUAGAGCUACACUUAUCAUUUGCAGGAAUGAUCUCUAUCCAUGCAUAUGAGAGGAAAUAUUACAAAGAAGCAGUAGCAGAUCUGGAGUCGAGAAAUUUAAGCGUCGAGUUGAAAAGGAGAUGUAGUUUUUGAAUUGCAGCUCUCCAAGGUAUACACAAAGGCUAUAUUUAGCAAGUUUCAAUCUGAGGUUGAAGGAAUGUACUCUUGUGAGAUCUCAUAUCGGUUGGAGAGUGGGAACGAAUCAUUCAGGGUGUGGAAACCUCUUCCUAGUAGACACAUGUUAAAACCGUGAGGCUUACAACGAUACGUAACUGGGUAAAGCGGACAAUAUUUGCUAGCAGUGAGCUUUUUCAACUCUUGCUUCAACAUGAGGCAAGUCAAUGUAAAUGAUCCUAAUUCCUAUAUUAGAUAUGCAUGUUAAAACCAUGAGACUGACAGCGAUACGUAACAGACCAAAGCGGACAAUAUUUGCUAGCGUGAACUUUUACAACUCUUGUUUCAACAUGAGGCAGGUCAAUGUAAAUGGUCCUAAUUCCUAUAUUAACUUGCAUUGUCAAAGAAAGGAUUGUAGUUGAGGGAAACGGGCCAUGGGGAGCGAACGAAAAGCAUGUUCGUAGUCUGUAUCCCGAGAAGGGCGGUAAUCCAAUCAGAACUUUGCCUCCAUGUUACCAAGUAAACAUGAAAGAAUAAGGCUACCUAUGGAUGAUAGCUUUAUAUGCACAAUUCCGUGGAAGUUUAAGCAACACCUUACCUUACUUGUGAGCUCAUAUUGGAUCUAUUAUGGUCAUCCCAUUGAAGUUGAGACCAUAAAUCCUUGCAGUUUUUCCCACUAAAAUUCUCAACGCCCUCAAUUAUAGUCUUUGCUCUGUCUUUUAAUUCAAGACUUGCUACCCAUAUAGUAUAUGGGCCCUCUUAUAUUCAUUAUGGUUACGUUGGAUAUGUGGACUUUAUAGUAGAUAAUGCAUGCAUAUAAUUAUUUGG